CAUAUUAUUAUUAUAAUUGUUGUUGUUAUUAUUAGUAGUAUUAGUAAUAAUAAUAAUAAUAUGGCAUUUAGGUAUCUGAUGUUCUACCCCAUCAAUUAAUCAAUAAUAAUAAUAAUAAUAAUGAUAAUAAU
rnacentral:miRNA from 1 species